GACGUAGGAGGCGAGCGUUGUCCGGAUUCAUUGGGCGUAAAGAGCGCGCAGGCGGCUUGGUAAGUCGGAUGUGAAAUCCCGAGGCUCAACCUCGGGUCUGCAUCCGAUACUGCCCGGCUAGAGGUAGGUAGGGGAGAUCGGAAUUCCUGGUGUAGCGGUGAAAUGCGCAGAUAUCAGGAGGAACACCGGUGGCGAAGGCGGAUCUCUGGACAGUUCCUGACGCUGAGGCACGAAGGUCAGGGGAGCAAACGGG
rnacentral:rRNA from 1 species